rnacentral:rRNA from 1 species
AUGGUCCAGAUACUAUAUCUUAUCCACAACAAAACGGGGAAGCUGAGCAGCCUACCCUACCUACACCUACCUGUAGAUGUCACAAAUUUGAAGGCAAGAUACCGCAGAGAGAGUAAGUUAGCAGACAUAGAAGACACAAUUGCCUACUUCAAAGAGAAAGAGAAGGAAGAUCCUUAUUUUUUUUACAAAAUUAAUCACGAUGAGGACCGCAUGAAGAACAUGUAUUGGGUGGAUGGUCUAGCUCGGAGAGCCUAUAAGCACUUUCAUGACUGCAUUUCUUUUGAUGCAACAUAUCUCAUGAAUAUGUACAAGAUGCCAUGUGCUCCAUUCAUAUGAAUCAAUAACCACAGCCAGUCGUUGCAGUUCGGUUGCGGUCUUGUACAAGCCGGAGAUAUCGAUGGCUACAACUAGUUGUUCAAAACAUUCUUGAAAUGCAUGGAUGGCCUUGCUCCGAUGAGCAUAAUAAUGGACCAAGACUUUAGCAUGCGUGGAGGCAUUCUUGGAGUGCAUGGAUGGCCUUGCUCCGAUGAGCAUAAUAACGGAUCAGGUAGGAACCGACUAGGUUAG